rnacentral:tRNA from 1 species
CAGAGUGUAGUAUAAACUAGAAGAACGCUUCCCUUACACCGAAGAGAUUAUUCGUGCAAACCGAAUCACCCUGA